UUGAGUUUGAGAUAAUCCAAAAUACGUAAAUCAAUUCGUAUAACCACUAAAUCGCCAUGUUCAAAAUCGCCAAAACGUCCAAUAACACCCUCAAAACAUCCCCAAAAAGAGCUUCAAAAAAAUGGCCGCUAAAAUUUAAAAAAUAAGCCAAAAAACCUUUUUGCAUCAAUAUGAAUUUACAAGAUUAUUCCAGGAUACCAAAUAUUCAAUUUAAAAGAAAUUUUUAUAAACCUUGGCACUGUUUUCGAAAAAGUAAACGACGAAAUUAUGGGAAGGAAUUUCAAUUUUUGACUUUCUGCAUUAUGGACAUGGAUGACUACAACUCUGUUGGUAUAGGUCAGAUAUUUUUUUUUCUUUGAUUUCAGGUAUAUUUAUUUCUAACUUAUAAUUAGUGGGUUCAGGUAUAUUGAUUUUUAAUUUAUAGUUUAUGAAUAUAUCCUUUUAACACAUACAUAAACUUAAAUAUAUCCUUUUAAUUCAUAUUGUAUUUUUUUAAAGAUGUUUUAUCUCUCUAAAUUGGUAACUUUAUUUGUAAAUUAUAUUAAUUUGCAUGAUACUAUAAUUUAUAUCCCCUCUUUAAUAGAAAUACUCACUGUUUCUUAUGUUUAAAAGUUAGUAUUAAUACUUAAUAUCCUAUAUUUAUUAAUACCUUGACUUAA